rnacentral:rRNA from 1 species
GAUGAACGCUGGCGGCGUGCCUAAUACAUGCAAGUCGAGCGAAUGGAUUAAGAGCUUGCUCUUAUGAAGUUAGCGGCGGACGGGUGAGUAACACGUGGGUAACCUGCCCAUAAGACUGGGAUAACUCCGGGAAACCGGGGCUAAUACCGGAUAACAUUUUGAACCGCAUGGUUCGAAAUUGAAAGGCGGCUUCGGCUGGCACUUAUGGAUGGACCCGCGUCGCAUUAGCUGGUUGGUGAGGUAACGGCUCAACAAGGCAACGAUGCGUAGCCGACCUGAGAGGGUGAUCGGCCACACUGGGACUGAGACACGGCCCAGACUCCUACGGGAGGCAGCAGUAGGGAAUCUUCCGCAAUGGACGAAAGUCUGACGGAGCAACGCCGCGUGAGUGAUGAAGGCUUUCGGGUCGUAAAACUCUGUUGUUAGGGAAGAACAAGUGCUAGUUGAAUAAGCUGACACCUUGACGGUACCUAACCAGAAAGCCACGGCUAACUACGUGCCAGCCGCCGCGGUAA